CUGACACCGCGAGACAGACGCGGUGGACUGCUGCUACAGCUGAACUGAUACUCCAACGGUGAAACAAAAGACACGUCAGCAUCACGUGUACGGCACGUGAGUGCUUCGUGGUUUCGCACCAUCACGUUGUUGAGUGCCUUCCCUAUGUUUUUUCCUCUCUUCAUCAUUUCUUGCAUGUCCUGCACUACUCUGUUACUCUUUGACACACCGUUUUGUAUUAUGAAACUUAUUAAACGCACCGUUUUGUUCACUUUCUCUGUCAACACCGUUUGUUGGUUAUCCAUGCACGUAAUGUCCACAACAUUAUUUGGGACACACCACUCUGUUUCUAUAGGUAGUUUCAUGUAGCUACUUAUUUGGUAUUUAGAGUAUAGGUGUUGUUUUAGUAUAGUGCAAUAUUGAUGAAGAGUAGUGUUGGUUUGUGGGGGAAGAGUUAUGAAUUUAAAAGAAAGAAAAAGAUAGGAUAAGAGCUAGAGAAAGAGAAAGAGAAAGUUUGGUUGGUUUGAUGUUGCUGUUUUGGAUAGUGAACUUAUAAUGAUGACAGUUUCAUUGUGCUUGUCUUUCUUUUUC
rnacentral:lncRNA from 1 species